CAACCCUCAAGACCCCUGUGGACUUGGUGUUGGGGACCGGCGGCGCCUCUCUGGUGUCACCGCCCCCUAAAUGAAUUGGCGGCCUCGUCGCGGCCCUCCUCUGCGUAGUAGCACACACCUCGCAACAGGAGCCCGACGGCGGCCACUGCCGUAAAACGCCCAAACUUUUUUAGAGUUGACCUCGAAUCAGGUAGGAAUACCCGCUGAACUUAAGCAUAUCAAUAAGCGGAGGA
rnacentral:rRNA from 1 species